GACGAACGCUGGCGGCGUGCUUAACACAUGCAAGUCGAACGGAAAGGCCCUGCUUUUGUGGGGUGCUCGAGUGGCGAACGGGUGAGUAACACGUGAGUAACCUGCCCUUGACUUUGGGAUAACUUCAGGAAACUGGGGCUAAUACCGGAUAGGAGCUCCUGCUGCAUGGUGGGGGUUGGAAAGUUUCGGCGGUUGGGGAUGGACUCGCGGCUUAUCAGCUUGUUGGUGGGGUAGUGGCUUACCAAGGCUUUGACGGGUAGCCGGCCUGAGAGGGUGACCGGCCACAUUGGGACUGAGAGACGGCCCAGACUCCUACGGGAGGCAGCAGUGGGGAAUAUUGCACAAUGGGCGGAAGCCUGAUGCAGCAACGCCGCGUGCGGGAUGACGGCCUUCGGGUGGUAAACCGCUGUCGCCUGUGACGAAGCGUGAGUGACGGUAAUGGGUAAAGAAGCACCGGCUAACUACGUG
rnacentral:rRNA from 1 species